CCUGUCCCUUGAGGCAUUGCCAGUAUGGCUGCCACGUCACACAUGUAUCAGUAGGUGGCAGAGAGGACAGAGGCUAUGUCUUCCCUCAGUGUUCUGACCCGUGACCACCUGAAUGAUUAGUAACCUAUCAUU
ensembl:snoRNA LOC120099489 small nucleolar RNA SNORA17